UCCCCGGUGGCUCAGAUGGUAAAGCGUCUGUCUACAAUGCAGGAGACCCGGGUUCAGUCCCUGGGUUGGGAA
rnacentral:tRNA from 1 species